rnacentral:tRNA from 1 species
GCCUCUGUAGCUCAGUUGGUAGAGCGCGGCGUGAGUUAUGCCGAGGUCUUGAGUUCGACUCUCAACGGAGGCA